GGCAAGGCAGAGUGUUGGGCAUGAGACCAGAACUUAGAAUGGGGAACACUGGAAAAUGUUCUGACAGUUACUAAGGUCCUCUCACUGACUGGCUGACUUUCCUUCUGGCUAUUGGUAGAGGCAGACAUCUUAGACCUGUGCUGGUGAGAGGGAAAAAGAUCUCUGUAAACCAUCUAAAAAGGUUUUCUACUUUCCUGACCGAGAGAAGUCAUCUCUAAGAAGAAGCUGGUAGAUCUGUUUUGCUGGAGAACAAUUUGGAGAAAAAAAAGGCUGAAGACUGCCUGGACACUGGGCCAUACCAGGGUUACCUUAUUUUCAGUUAGCAACUGCCAUCUUGGCUGACUGAAAUUAUAUGUACUUGGAGAUAUCAUUAUCAAAUUAGUCAGAUUAAUGUUUUGGGGUUAUGUUUUUAUUUUUGUUUUGUAAGUGCUAGGCAGAUUUGGUGUAGCUGGAAGAACCAAAGGCUUUGUCAUGAGAUAAAUGUAGAAGAUAUCAUGAUUGCAACUCCUGCCUUCUUUCUAUCAGUUGAGGCCCAAAAGGACUUACUCCAACCUCUAAUUCUAACCUUGUCACCAGCAUUCAUGAGUGAAGUCAUUUCUGUAACAGCAAACAGAUAUAUGUAUGGGAAAUGUGACAGUCUUGCCCUCAAUGCCAGCAAAGGUCAAUCUCCUAUUUGUCAGAACUCUUUGCCAUCUGUGGAUUGAGAGGUCCUGAUGCUGCUUCUGCUGGUGGCUGUGUCAUCUAUACCAUUUUUGAAGCAUGCACCAGAGCAGAACUUCAUUUUUUCCCAUUCAAAAUCUCAAUCAAUCUCAGAUCUGGCAUUUGGUUAAAGUGGAUUUUGGUGCACAUAAAAUAAAACACAAGGAGUUUCAAC
rnacentral:lncRNA from 1 species